rnacentral:lncRNA from 1 species
AUGAAUUGUAUUAUAUUUAUGGUUGUGCAACGAAGGUGGGGAUUCUGAACUGACCAGUAGCUAGGCUUUGAACUGGUUCUUCUAAAAUGGCUUGAUCAUAUUCAUGGAUGAGAAAUAUGUUUUUGGGUGAACACAGGAGCAUGUCCAGGGGGCCCUGGAGACCCACCCACGGUGGCGUCAUCACACUCACCUCCUUGGCAGUUGGGUGUCUCUCUACACCGUGUCAAGUGGAGAGAACACAGGCGACCCUGUUACACUAGCCUGUAAUUUAGGUAUGAUCUGAAGCUGCCUUUCUUGGCGCCAUGGGGGGCCCAGGAUGGACAAAUCAAUUUUUAACUGUGUGUCAGCACCGACAGCUUUCUGGGAAUAUCUCACAUUAUCACUGGGAACCUUGGAGAAUUUUCUCAGCUUCAGAAGUCUCCCGAUUAUACAAAGAUUCGUCUCCUGGGCCAAACUGCGGGUGUGUAUGCUCCAGAAAAAGAGCAACUGAAGGAAGGCCGUCCUUGCAGAGUUAUGAGGAACUCGUUUCAAAGAUGACUGGUUCCCGUGGUUGUGCCAUCCUCUCUGGGGGCCGGGGGGCGAGUGUCAGAGAGGAGGGAGCCAACCUGCCCCCUGGGACUAGGACAGAUCUGAGUACUGUGCAAACAGAGAAGCUGUGCUUCUAAGCCCCAAAGGAAAGAACUUGGUCCUUCUGCUGCUUGAUGAGAAAGAUCUGAGUUUGACUUUGAAGGGAAGGCAAAAGCUCUGAAUAUACAGGGCUGAUAUUCUAAGACGUAUUAAUUCACCAGAUCCACAAAUACUCACUGAGGAUCCAUCUUGUGCCACUAGGCUCAAGAGACAAGCUCUAAUAAAGCUUAUAAAAGGUUAUUUCAAGACAGAGAUAUCAAGUGGAACUAAGCUUAUAAUGUUUAAUUUCUUUGCAGAAAUUUCACUUAUGCUUUAAAGUCUUAAAAAAAAAGACAUAGGUGGCCUGGCAGUUAAGAAUCUGGUAUUGUUAGUGCUGUGGCACAGGUUUGAUUCCUGGCCCAGGAACUUCCAGAAGCUGAGGGUGUGGCCAAAAAAAAAAAAAAAAAAAAAAAUGACAUCGUCAACAAGGACCUACUGUAUAGCACGGGCAACUAGACCCAAUAUCUUGUAAUAAUCUAUAAUGGACAAGAGUCUGAAAAAAGAUCUGUAUCACUUUGCUGUACCUAACACCUGAACUUAACACAACAUUGUAAAUCAACUACAUACACGUCCAUUAAAAAUAAAAUAAAAAUAAAAAUAUUUUUAAAUGACAUAGGGUAUAUUUUGUAGACAGAUAUGAUAUGAAUACAGCUGCCCUGUAUGUUUCACUUCCCCUACUUUCCAGUCUGCUGAUUCUCUGGAUUUCUAAGGUAUUUCUGCUUCACUCAUUCUUUACAACCAGCUUUUGUAAUUGCUGUGCCAAUUGCAUAUUCAUAUCCCAUCUCUGAGCUACGUUAGUUUGCUUUCGUUUACUCAGUUCCCAGAGCUGAAUUUAUACAGAUGGUCCAGAAUAAGUGGUUCAGGUGGCUCAUAGAACUCCAUGCUCAGGGGAUGCUGAAUGUUUGAGGUCUGCAUGGGCCAGAAAGAUUUUCAAAGGGACAUGAUUAGUAAUCGUUAGUUUGGCAGAAAUUUUUAAAAUGUAUUCAGAAUUUAAAGUAAGACUUUGUCAUAUGCUAAGGACUGCACUGCAGGGAGGAAAGAAGGGACUCACUAGCCAGUAACUGGGUUAACAUCACGUCUAGUUUCCUCACACGUCAAAAUGAGAGGCUUUCCUAAAGAGACAGAUCAAAAAAAAGAAAAAAAAAAAGUUGCCAAGAUAUAUGUCACCAAAAUACGUAAAGAACUCACAGAACUCAAUACCAGAAAAAAAAAAAAAACCCUCAAAAACCUGAUUAAAAAUGGGCAAAGCACCUGAAGAGGCUUUUUUCUAAAGAAGACAUACAGUGGCCAACAGGCACAUGAAAAAGUGCUCACAAUCAUUGAUCAUCAGGGAACUGCAAAUCAAAACCAUAGUGAGAAAUCACCUCACACCUGACAGAAUGAUUGUAAUCAAAAAGACAAUAAAUACCAAUUUUUAGCUAGGGUGUAGAGAAAAGGAAACCCUAUUAUAUUGUUUGUGGGAGUAGAAAUUGGUGCAGCCAUAAUGAAAAAUAGUAUGGAGUUUCCUCAAAAAUUAAAAAUAGAGCUACCAUGUGAUCUAGCAAUUCCACUCCUGGGUAUAUAGCCAAAGAAAAUGAAAACACCAAUUUAAAAAGAUACAUGUACCUCUAUGUUCAUAGCAGCACUAUUUACAAUAGCUAAGAUGUGGAAGCAACCUAAAUGUCCAUUGACAGAGGAAUGGAUAAAGAAGAUGUGGUACAUAUACACUAUGGAAUACUACUCAGCCAUUAAAAAGAAUGAAAUGACACCAUUUGCAGCCACUCAGAUGGACUUAGGUGGCAAUAUGCUUAGUGAAAUAAGUCAGGGAAAACCAAAUUGUGUACAUUUUCAAUCAAAUAUGGAAAAUCUAAAAAAUUAAGGUAAAUGAACCAAUAUAACAAAACAGAGCCAACUAACAGAUACAGUGAACAAACUUGUGGUUACCAGUAAAGAGAAGGGUGGAGGGAGGGCAAAACAGGGGAAGGAGAUUAAGAGGUAUGAACUUCUAGGUAUAAAAUAAAAGGAUGUAAUGUACAGCACAGGGAAUAGAGCCAAUAUUUUAUAACUUUAUAUGGAGUACAAUCUAUAAAAAUAUCAAACUUCUGUGUCUUACACCUCAGACUAACAUAAUAUUACCAAUCAACUAUACUUCCAUAGAAAAAUGGGAGGCUUUCCUUUAGGUACAGAUACAACCUAAGACCCAUUCUGAGAAUUGCCUUGUCACCCACAGGAUAGAAAUUUCUUCAUCAUGCCAUGUAGAAUAGGAAAAACCCUGUGAUACUCAGCAUGCCAGGAGAAAGUGGACUUAAAAACCUGUAAGCAGAUCUCAAAAAGCUUAUUUGUGUGGGUAUUGGUAGUACUCAUUUGAAAGAGAUUUGUUUAUUUAUGUAUUUAUUUAUUUAUUUUUACAGUCACACGUGUGGCAUAUGGAUGUUCCCAGGCUAGGAGUCAUAUGGGAGCUGCAAGCCUAAGCCACAGCCAUAGCCACACCACAUCUGAGCCACAUCUGUGAAUUAUGCUGCAACUUCCAGCAUCACCAGAUCCUAAACCCACUGAGCGAGGCCAGGGAUUGAACCUGCAUCCUAAUGGACAUUAUAUUGGAUUCUUAACCCCCUGAGCCACAACAGGAACUCCUGAAAGAGAUUUUUUAACAAAUAGCAAAGCUAUGUUGAGAUUUCAACUUUAUCAUAUGCAGUGGUUAUUGUGAAGGGCUUAAUUCCUUCAAUGCUAGGCUUUUGGGGGAAAAAUUAUCUAGUUGUGCUUGAUAUUUGGUAUAACCCCCCAAUCAGUCUCCUGCCCUACAAUUUUCUGUGCAUGACCUUUUCCUGCGGCCCUUUGAUAAAAAGAUUUUUGAGUCUUCCUCCAGAAACAAAGUCCACAUCUGCGCUGGACAGAACACAAGGAGCCAGGAAUCAUCCCACAUCAGCUAGCAGAGCAAGCUUGGUAGGGCCAAGACUCAAGGAGACUGGAACAGUCAUAGGAGCACAUGCAUCUCUACUCUGUGUGUUGUGUUCCAAGGUGAAGCAAAGAGGCCUGGAGCCACAGGAUGGGAGAAGGACCUCAACUUCUGGACUUAGGCUUCCUCAGAUGCAGGAUUAGGGAAGCACCAGCCUCCCGCUGCCUUGUGAUCAAGGUACACAUGGACAGAAAGAUGGGAAGGCAGCAUCUUGGGUUAGCCCGGUCUUGAGAGUUCAGGGUUUGUGUUUGGAGAAGGUCUAAUGGUCAGGGGCCUGGUGUUCAGGACUUGUAAGGACAGCUAUGCUAUGUGACCAGAUAGCAGCAGGAUUUGCCACAUAGGCAGGUUACACCUGCUCUCUACUGGCGUGCUUGACAGUCAAGGGUCCAAGCCUGUCAUUGAUAAGAAUGGGUUGCCUUCAAUGCAGAGCCAUAGCUGGAGCCUGUGAACUUCGUAGACAGCCAAGUCCCUCUCUGAGAGGCCAGCUGCAGCUGCAGGGGUCAGUUUGGACAGCCCUUAGUUUUUGAGUAAAAAAAGGUUUGGUCUGCAACAUAGGGAAAAGCAAUGUGCAGUGAAUGAGAAUUUUCCAUGUGUUCAGUACCUCUUGCUCCAUCUGCAUUUGGCAGAAAACCCUUGGGAUAUGACUAAAGUUUUGUCAUGGAGGGAGGAGACGUGGUAUUUGACACUUGCUGGUGUGGAGCUAAAGACACAGAGCUUGUUCCUUCUCCUUCAUGUCAGGUUGUGGAACCAGAUAAUGGUCAUGACAAAGCUUUAUUUUUUUUUGGUCUUUUUAGGGCUGAACCUGUGACAUAUGGAAGUUCCCGGGCUAGGGGU